AGAGUUUGAUCCUGGCUCAGAACGAACGCUGGCGGCAGGCUUAACACAUGCAAGUUGAACGGGAUUUGUGUGGUGCUUGCACCAUAUAAUGAGAGUAGCGCACUGGUGAGUAACACGUGGGAACGUACCUUUUGGUGGGGGACAACAUCUGGAAACGGAUGCUAAUACCGCAUAAGACCUGAGGGUGAAAGAUUUAUCGCCGAAAGAACGGCCCGCGGAAGAUUAGGCAGUUGGUGGGGGAAAGGCCUACCAAACCUACGAUCUAUAGCUGGUCUGAGAGGAUGAUCAGCCACACUGGAACUGAGACACGGUCCAGACUCCUACGGGAGGCAGCAGUGAGGAAUAUUGGGCAAUGGAGGCAACUCUGACCCAGCCAUGCCGCGUGAGUGAAGAAGGUUUUCGGAUUGUAAAGCUCUUUCGGAUGUGACGAUGAUGACGGUAGCAUCUAAAGAAGCCCCGGCUAACUUCGUGCCAGCAGCCGCGGUAAUACGAAGGGGGCGAGCGUUGUUCGGAAUUACUGGGCGUAAAGGGUGUGUAGGCGGUUAUGUAAGAUAGCGGUGAAAUCCCGGGGCUUAACCUCGGAAUAGCCGUUAUAACUAUGUAGCUAGAGUUAUGGAGAGGAUAGCGGAAUACCCAGUGUAGAGGUGAAAUUCGUAGAUAUUGGGUAGAACACCGGUGGCGAAGGCGGCUAUCUGGCCAUAUACUGACGCUGAGGCACGAAAGCAUGGGGAUCAAACAGGAUUAGAUACCCUGGUAGUCCAUGCUGUAAACGAUGAAUGCUGGUUGUCGGCUUUAGGGUCGGUGACGAAGUUAACGCGAUAAGCAUUCCGCCUGGGGAGUACGGUCGCAAGAUUAAAACUCAAAGGAAUUGACGGGGACCCGCACAAGCGGUGGAGCAUGUGGUUUAAUUCGAUGCAACGCGAAGAACCUUA
rnacentral:rRNA from 1 species